AUUCACUCUGAUGUCCUCUGCCUGGGCUGGCUGAGCUGUGCAUGUUGAAACAUGCCUCGACUUGUACUGGCUCGCCUGGCCGAGGAAGGAGAGAGGGCAAGGCUCUCAACGGUUUCACCAUGCCCUGCUUGAAGUGACCCUCUGGGCAGACAAACAGGAACCAGCAGAGCUGCUCAACUCUGGCAGUUGACUGUCCUGGACACUCAAGAGUGGACGGACACACUGAACAGAACCAGAACAGGACCCUGGAUCUUCAGCUGUAGCCAGUCUAUAAUCUGUCCUCGAUCCAAACACUACUUUACUGCCUAGCUCUUGGGGAUUCCCCUUCAAAGUGAAACCUCCUCUUCAUCAGCCGAGACAGCAGGCUUCCUCCACUUACCUACCAGCUGCCACAGAGGAACCACAACAUUUAUCAAGGUGGGAAGCAGGCAGACUUGGAAUGAAAAUCACAGGAGGACGACCUCACUAUACCCCCUUCGAGGCGGACACCUAUUGAACUGACCAUUCUCUGACAACGUCACCGGGUCGGACCUGACAGUGACCACUGUGAGUGUGUGUGUGUGUGUGUGUGUGUGUGUGUGUGUGUGUGUGUGUGUGUGUGUGUGUGUGUGUGUGUGUGUGUGUGUGGAGGGGGGGGUUCCCUGUUGGAAACAUAGCAGUGGGAAACUGUACCAACCAGUGAAGAUGAAGAGGCCAGUAAACACAGAAUCUGCUGGAUGGAUGUGGCUGCUGGGAGUGUUUCUCUGGCAGUGUCUUAGCUGGUUGUUGUGAGGGAGAGAACGAAGCAAUCAGCAAGUAUACUGCCGCAGAAACUCUUCGCACUACAAGCCCAGGCCCCUGGAAUCAGCAAGAAGGCCAUUGGCCCCCUGGAAUCAGCAAGAAGGCCAUUGGCCCCCUAGAAUCAGCAAGAAGGCCAUUGGCCCCCUGGAAUCAGCAAGAAGGCCAUUGGCCCCCUAGAAUCAGCAAGAAGGCCAUUGGCCCCCUGGAAUCAGCAAGAAGACCAUUGGCCCCCUGGAAUCAGCAAGUAGGCCAUUGGCCCCCUGGAAUCAGCAAGAAGGCCAUUGGCCCCCUGGAAUCAGCAAGAAGGCCAUUGGCCCCCUGGAAUCAGCAAGAAGGCCAUUGGCCCCCUGGAAUCAGCAAGUAGGCCAUUGGCCCCCUGGAAUCAGCAAGUAGGCCAUUGCCCCCCUGGAAUCAGCAAGAAGGCCAUUGGCCCCCUGGAAUCAGCAAGAAGGCCAUUGGCCCCCUGGAAUCAGCAAGAAGGCCAUUGGCCCCUGGAAUCAGCAAGUAGGCCAUUGGCCCCCUGGAAUCAGCAAGAAGGCCAUUGGCCCCCUGGAAUCAGCAAGAAGGCCAUUGGCCCCCUGGAAUCAGCAAGUAGGCCAUUGGCCCCCUGGAAUCAGCAAGUAGGCCAUUGCCCCCCUGGAAUCAGCAAGAAGGCCAUUGGCCCCCUGGAAUCAGCAAGAAGGCCAUUGGCCCCCUGGAAUCAGCAAGUAGGCCAUUGGCCCCCUGGAAUCAGCAAGAAGGCCAUUGCCCCCCUGGAAUCAGCAAGAAGGCCAUUGGCCCCCUGGCUCUCAGAUGUCAUUCCCCCAGAGCGACAGAAGGAAUGAGGAAGAGAAGAGCACUAUUUUUAGUAUGAUUAGUACCACUGGACUCAUGACGGAUGAUAGACUGAUGAUGCUUUUGGUAUAUGGUGACAUUGUGUGUAUAACAUGAGUGCGUGCUAUUCUGUUUGAAGCCAAUGCAAUCCUCUAUCGCCAUCUUGUGGCUCAAAUGUUAAAUUGAACCAAAUUGGACAGCGAUAAUGUGUUGAUGUGUUAUUAGGUUAUUACAGUAAUUACCGGUUUGUAUCUCUUAAAAUAUAUAUUUGCAAUGAUUUUUGCAAUCACUUGGUCUGGGUUAUUGAAAAUAAACAGAAAAUAUUGAAAAAUAAACUGUCAAUAUAGUAACAUC